rnacentral:rRNA from 1 species
AUGGCACCAUCGGGUACCAGGUUUGAGGUGGAGAAGUCCAACGGAACUGAAAGCUUUGGGUUAUGGCAGACAAGGGUGAAAGAUUUGUUGGCACAACAGGGAUGCUUGAAGGCGUUGUUGCAGGAAGCCAAGCCAGCUAAGAUGGAGGCGGAUGACUGGGAGGAGUUACAGUUGAAAGCAGUCGGGACUAUACGGUUGUGUCUGUUGGACCAGGUUGUUUAUCAUGUGAUGGAUGAGAAUUCGCCGAAGAAGAUCUGGGAGAAGCUGGAAAGUCAGUUUAUGUCCAAGACUGCGACGACCAAGGUGUAUCUGAAGCAAAAGUUGUAUGGGAUGAGGAUGCAGGAGGCGUCAGAUCUUGUGGAGUAUAUGAACGCCUUUAAUCAAGUCGUGACGGAUCUAGCACGCUUGGGUGCAACAAUUGACGACGAGGAUAGGGCAAUUCUGCUUCUUUCUUCGUUGCCAUCACCCUAUGACCAUUUGAUCACUACUUUGACACACGGCAAGGAGACCAUCAAGAAUGAGGAUAUUACUGCGGCAUUGCUAUCUUAUGAUAUGAGAAAGAAGAACGCGGUGGAAGUCUUUCAUGGUGAAGGUUUGCUAGUCAAGGGUGAGCAGUGGCGGAAGGGAUAUGAGGCUGGGAAGAACAAGAAAAAGAAAAAAAUAUACGGUGUCACAAGUGUAAGCAGUGGGGACAUAUGA